rnacentral:rRNA from 1 species
GACGAACGCUGGCGGCGUGCCUAAUACAUGCAAGUCGAACGCAUUUUCUUUCACCGUAGCUUGCUACACCGAAAGAAAAUGAGUGGCGAACGGGUGAGUAACACGUUGGUAACCUGCCCAUCAGCGGGGGAUAACACUUGGAAACAGGUGCUAAUACCGCAUAAUUCCAUUUACCGCAUGGUAAAUGGAUGAAAGGCGCUUUUGCGUCACUGAUGGAUGGACCCGCGGUGCAUUAGCUAGUUGGUGGGGUAACGGCCUACCAAGGCUGCGAUGCAUAGCCGACCUGAGAGGGUGAUCGGCCACACUGGGACUGAGACACGGCCCAGACUCCUACGGGAGGCAGCAGUAGGGAAUCUUCGGCAAUGGACGCAAGUCUGACCGAGCAACGCCGCGUGAGUGAAGAAGGUUUUCGGAUCGUAAAACUCUGUUGUUAGAGAAGAACAAGGAUGAGAGUGGAAAGUUCAUCCCUUGACGGUAGCUAACCAGAAAGCCACGGCUAACUACGUG